UUUGAAGUGAUAAGUUCUCACUCUGAUUUGGCCUCUUGUGUAGAACCUUGGGACUAACAGUUCUUGGGUAAUUUUUUACAUAGUGAAAUUUAAAGAUAUUUUUACCUCAUGUCCACUCACAUUGCUUUUUCAGGAUUUUCAGAUAAAACACACUCUGUUUACAAUGACAGUUUAAGAAAUAUAUUCCCUGACAUUUCCAAAGAGGGGUGCAGGCUCAACCAAGCUAAGUUCUGGCAGAAAAUGAUAUGUCUGAUUUUUGAUUUAUUAAGAGACCUAAUAUAGGAAGCAUUAAAUAAUCAUAGGAUUUGCAUCCUUUGUUUCUUUUGGUGAGUGUAUCAGUUUCCUAGGGCUGCUGAAACAAAGCACCUCACACUGGGUGACUUAAAACACAGACCUUUAUUCUCUCACAGUUCUGGAGGCCAGAAGUCCAAAAUCAAGGUGUUGGCAGGGCCAUGCUUACUUGGAAGCCUAUAGAGGAGGAUUGUUCUUGGCCUCUGAUUCUGGGGCCUCCCAGCCAUGUGGAACUGUCCUUGAGGAAUAGCCACACUGUCUUCCAACUCUUAAACAAGUUAGCAGUGUUGGAGAAGAAACUGCUGGGUAUCCUGACCACAAGUCUUCAGGACCUUGAAGUGUUCCUUCAUACCCAUCCAUCUGGAGAAGAUGCAACUGGUGGCUUGCUCAGUUGACUUGCUUGACCAAAAGAAUGGGCAACAGUGGUGUUCUAAGAAUUCCAAGGCUAGAUCAUAGGAAGUAUUGCAUCUCUUGUGUGGAUCUCUUGGAAUGCUCACUUCUGGAACACUGGGAAUCCUGAGCUGCUAUAUAAGGAGUCCGGCUACUCUGAGACUGCCGUUCUGGAGAGGUCACAUGUGGUUAUUCUGAUUAACAGUCACAGCUGAGCCCAGCCAGCCUUGCAGCUAUUCCAGCCGAGGCAUUAGAGAUGUAAGUGAAGCUAUCUUGAACACCACAGUUAAGUCCAUUCACUAACUAUGUAACAUCAAGUUACAGCUACCAACACUAUGUGGAGCAUGAAAAAUGCUCAGCUGAGCCUGUUCAAAUUCUUGGCUCACAAAAUUAUAAGAGAUAAUAAAUUAGUUGUUUUAGGUCUCUAAACCUUGGGG
rnacentral:lncRNA from 13 species